AAAUGAGCCAAAAGGCUGUAGUUUGGAAAGAACUGUCCUAGACCACUUGUCUUCCCCCAAGUCUGAUUCUUAUCCAUCCUUCCCAUUCUUGGAAAGAACA